GAUGAACGCUGGCGGCGUGCCUAAUACAUGCAAGUCGAGCGAACAGACGAGGAGCUUGCUCCUCUGACGUUAGCGGCGGACGGGUGAGUAACACGUGGAUAACCUACCUAUAAGACUGGGAUAAAUUCGGGAAACCGGAGCUAAUACCGGAUAAUAUAUUGAACCGCAUGGUUCAAUAGUGAAAGACGGUUUUGCUGUCACUUAUAGAUGGAUCCGCGCCGCAUUAGCUAGUUGGUAAGGUAACGGCUUACCAAGGCAACGAUGCGUAGCCGACCUGAGAGGGUGAUCGGCCACACUGGAACUGAGACACGGUCCAGACUCCUACGGGAGGCAGCAGUAGGGAAUCUUCCGCAAUGGGCGAAAGCCUGACGGAGCAACGCCGCGUGAGUGAUGAAGGUCUUCGGAUCGUAAAACUCUGUUAUUAAGGAAGAACAAAUGUGUAAGUAACUAUGCACGUCUUGACGGUACCUAAUCAGAAAGCCACGGCUAACUACGUG
rnacentral:rRNA from 1 species